rnacentral:rRNA from 1 species
UCUGAAUCUGCGUACGGCUCCGCAAACCAGUUGUAAACUAUAGCAAGCAUGCCCCGGCGUCGGCCGCAAGGUCGACGACGGCGCGAUAAGGAUAACCCUGGUAAUUCUGAGGCUAAUACAAGAACAUAAACCCUGCCCUAACCAGGUAUGGCGGGCGGGGGACGUGUGAUACAUCGUAACGGGUGUAAUGGGAAUAGGUGCACGUUCAGACCACCGCAACAAAACGGGAAGAAAGCGUGUUUCGGCACCAACUUUUCGGGUGGCUCUUGCUGUGUGCUUCUGACCUAUCAACUAGAUGGCAGCGUAACGGACAUGCUAUGGU